GGUGCUAUAGUGUAGAAGUUAUCACUCGGGAUUCUGAUAAAGCUCUCGUUGGUGAAGAUGUGUUUCCCGAAACCCAGGUUCGAAUCCUGGUAGCACCU